ensembl:lncRNA
GAACAGAAGAGGUAGGCCUGGAUCCUACCUCAAUAAGGGGCUAACUGAUGAACGGAAGAGGUAGGCCUGGAUCCUACCUCAAUAAGGGGCUAACUGAUGAACGGAAGAGGUAGUCUUGUAUCCUACCUCAAUAAGGGGCUAACUGAUGAACGGAAGAGGUAGGCCUGGAUCCUACCUCAAUAAGGGGCUAACUGAUGAACGGAAGAGGUAGUCUUGUAUCCUACCUCAAUAAGGGGCUAACUGAUGAACGGAAGAGGUAGGCCUGGAUCCUACCUCAAUAAGGGGCUAACUGAUGAACGGAAGAGGUAGUCUUGUAUCCUACCUCAAUAAGGGGCUAACUGAU